CUCAGUUCAGAUUGCAGGCUGCAACUCGCCUGCAUGAAGUCGGGAAUUGCUAGUAAUCGUAGGUCAGCAUACUACGGUGAAUACGUUCCCGGGCCUUGUACACACCGCCCGUCAAACCAUGAGAGUUGGCAACACCCGAAGUCGGUAGUCUAACCGCAAGGAGGACGCCGCCGAAGGUGGGGGUUGAUGAUUAGGGUUAAGUCGUAACAAGGUACC
rnacentral:rRNA from 1 species